CCUACGGGAGGCUGCAGUGGGGAAUAUUGGACAAUGGGCGAAAGCCUGAUCCAGCCAUGCCGCGUGUGUGAAGAAGGCCUUCGGGUUGUAAAGCACUUUCAGUGGGGAAGAAAGCCUUGGGGCUAAUACCCUCGAGGAAGGACAUCACCCACAGAAGAAGCACCGGCUAACUCCGUGCCAGCAGCCGCGGUAAUACGGAGGGUGCGAGCGUUAAUCGGAAUUACUGGGCGUAAAGCGCGCGUAGGCGGUCUGAUAAGCCGGUUGUGAAAGCCCCGGGCUCAACCUGGGAACGGCAUCCGGAACUGUCAGGCUAGAGUGCAGGAGAGGAAGGUAGAAUUCCCGGUGUAGCGGUGAGAUGCGUAGAGAUCGGGAGGAAUACCAGUGGCGAAGGCGGCCUUCUGGACUGACACUGACGCUGAGGUGCGAAAGCGUGGGUAGCAAACAGGAUUAGAUACCCCGGUAGUC
rnacentral:rRNA from 1 species